rnacentral:rRNA from 1 species
AGUGAACGCUGGCGGUAGGCCUAACACAUGCAAGUCGAACGGCAGCACAGAGGAGCUUGCUCCUUGGGUGGCGAGUGGCGGACGGGUGAGGAAUACAUCGGAAUCUACUCUGUCGUGGGGGAUAACGUAGGGAAACUUACGCUAAUACCGCAUACGACCUACGGGUGAAAGCAGGGGAUCUUCGGACCUUGCGCGAUUGAAUGAGCCGAUGUCGGAUUAGCUAGUUGGCGGGGUAAAGGCCCACCAAGGCGACGAUCCGUAGCUGGUCUGAGAGGAAGAUCAGACACAAUGGAACUGGGACACGGUCCAGACUCCUACGGGAGGCAGCAGUGGGGAAUAUUGGACAAGGGGCGCAAGCCUGAUCCAGCCAUACCGCGUGGGUGAAGAAGGCCUUCUGGUUGUAAAGCCCUUUUGUUGGGAAAGAAAUCCAUCUGGUUAAUACCCGGGUGGGAUGACGGUACCCAAAGAAUAAGCACCGGCUAACUUCGUGCCAGCCGCCGGGGUAA